rnacentral:lncRNA from 1 species
CUUAAAUAUGUGCAGGCAAAUUUACGUAAUCGUAUGUAUGUAUGUAUACGUGUGUAAUAUAUAGAUAUAUGUAUUGCAUAUAUAUAUAUUUGUGUAGAAGACGUAUUGAGCCACGCAUGCGCGUACGCAACCAGCUGCGAUUUCAUUCAUGACGAUUAAUGGGGUGGGGGUGCGGCGGGAAUAAAUCGAUAAGGAGAGCAAGGAUAAUUAUCAUAAUUUUUGUAUCUUUUUGUACUUUUUUUUACUUCGUUUUGUUUCCUGUUCUCCCUUGUUCGAUAAUAAAGAAAUAAUAAUUAGACUCGUGUACGAAGAGUACGUUGAAUAAGAAAAAUUAAAGAUCGCUGUUUUUACGAUGAAUUCACGAGGUUGAAUUAAAUACGCAAGAUGACGUUCGGUUAUCGAACACCUUGAUCGUAAUCGAUAACGCGUUUCCCCGUUCGAUAUAUUCGAUUGUAAUAAAAUUAAUGACAGGGCAAAUCAUUAGAGUCGACGAUUAUUAAAGGAAAAUGUCUACUCGUGUCCGAAGAAGAAUAAAUAUCUGUGUAAUUAGCAGCAGCAUAUUGUUUUGGAGGUUAGUCCAUUUAUACAUUAGAAUCAUCCGACUUAAAAACGAAUAUUAAAUGCAGAGCUUAAUCCAGUAAAUCUGGACACACCGUGCAGGCCACUGCAUUAACUUUUUUGUUUCUGUUAAAGCAAAACAACGACAAAGAUAAACUUUGUCUUAUCGAUACAAGCACCAUAGAAUGACCUAUUAAAAGUCUCUUCGGUUAAAUAAUCCAGCAUAGUAUGUUUCCUACAUAUAUAUCUAGUUGAAAUAUUUAUCAAGAUAUUAAAAAAUAAAAAAUAAUUGUCACUAAUCACGUAAUCAAUAAUGUCACGAUUAAUAUUGAACUACAGUCAAAUGAUUUGUCCAUUGAAUUUGGAGACUGAAAUAGGUAACGAUGCAUAAUGCACGAUAUUAUCAUAUUAACACAUUUUCAUUCAUCUAAAUCAUUCAAUUCUAUUCAUUUCUAAAAUUCAAAUGGAUAUGCAUAUAUAAGAUCAGAAUUUCUUGUUGAUUGUAACCACAAAACAAGAACAGCAACAAUAAUAACAUUAAUAAUAAGAAGGAACGCAAACAGAUAUUCAGAUAACUUUAAGUCAAGGUAGUAAUAAUAAUCUGUUGCUUUUGUACUUCGAUGUAAAAUUAAUUAAGACAACGAGAUGGAUAGGAUAAGAUAAAACACGUUGGUAAAACGUGAGAUUCAUUCAUAUAGGGUGUUAUGCGUUUGUAUAUAUAAGAUAUGUAAAUAAUAUCCGAUUUAAAAAUGCUCUCGUACAAGAUGACUCCCAGCUUGCAAGGACCUCUCGUAGAAAAACCAAACUUCGCAGCAGGCUAAGGACCGGCAAGAUUAAGUUGCAGCAGACUUUCUUUCUCUCCACUCUCAUUUCUCCUUUUCUUUCUUUUUUUUUACUCGUUUUCCGAAUAAUAUCACGUUAAAGUAUCGCCAUCAUUUUCAUAAAUGUCGCAGUAUGAUGAUGGUCAACCAUAGAGAAACGAAUUGGAUUAAAAUUCCCAAAAUUGAUUUUAUCCUAUCUCUUAAUUUAAAGGAAUAAUCAUUUGUCUUAGUAUUUUUUCCAAAAUAAAAUGUGAAACGAUUAAAACAUCUAAAGUUUCUAUAAUUUAUAGCUUGAUGUGUUUUUCUCUUCAUAAUGAAAUAAUAGUUUAACUAUAUACUAUAUUAGAGCGCGAUAGUUCUGUUAUAUAUGCAAACAUAUAUAUGUACUUUUGCAUAGUUAAUUCUAUACAACCAUCAGAUUAAGUAGUUUUAAUAUAAAUAAAGAUAAUCAGCGUUAAAGGAAAAUUUUGAAUGAAAUUUAAAAUGAUCUCUGAUAUAGAAUGUAGAAUAAUAAGAACACGUACCAAGAAUUAAUAAAUUAUGUAUUCAGCAAUUACCAACUUUGAUCGAAGUUUUACUUCAUUUCUAAAAUAUUUGUUAUAUAAUAAAUUUGAUAAAAAUAAAGAA